rnacentral:rRNA from 1 species
UACGUAGGGGCCUAGCGUUGUCCGGAUUUAUUGGGCGUAAAGAGCUCGUAGGCGGUUUGUCGCGUCUGCUGUGAAAACCUAAGGCUCAACCUUGGGCUUGCAGUGGGUACGGGCAGACUAGAGUGCGGUAGGGGUGACUGGAAUUCCUGGUGUAGCGGUGGAAUGCGCAGAUAUCAGGAGGAACACCGAUGGCGAAGGCAGAUCUCUGGGCCGUAACUGACGCUGAGGAGCGAAAGCGUGGGGAGCGAACAGG